rnacentral:lncRNA from 1 species
AUUAAUUCACUAUGAAAGGAGAGUACAAUACAGCAAAAUGUUUCAAUAAAAUUGACAGAGGGACCUUGUAUUUAUAGUAUAAAAUCAAGCCCUAAAAGAGUCCCAAAAAAGGUAAGAAAUCUAAUGCAAUUUAGACUCCUAUUUGAGUCACACUUCUAACACAUACUACAUGCAGAAGUGAAACGUGAGCCUCUAAAACAAUCCCGGAUUAUAUAUCCCCUAGGCACAUUACUUCUUUUAAACAGAUGGAAAACCGUCAACUUUUUUGGCUUAUGUUUGCUAAGAAGAGGUAAUGCAUCGAGAUGUUAAAUUGUAUCAGAGAAAAAAUGAUUUCAGACAACAAAUCUCAAUUCUACUAAGAAGGUAUAAUGUGUCGAGAUGCUAAACUGUAUCAAACAACAGCAAAUUUGGAAUAAUAGAUCUCAAUAUUUUGAACUAGUACAAAUUUCUUUUACCUUCCAUCUUUUGUUGGUGUCAACCAUAAAGAUAUAACUUGACAAAAUAGAGAAGCUGGCAAAUUGCUCAAACUCUCAUUCAUUUGAAUUAUUUGAGAGUAGCCUGAAGAUGCAGACUGCAUUUCUUCACCCC